UACGAAGGGGGGCUAGCGUUGUUCGGAAUCACUGGGCGUAAAGGGCGCGUAGGCGGCUUUAUAAGUCGGGGGUGAAAGCCUGUGGCUCAACCACAGAAUUGCCUUCGAUACUGUAGAGCUUGAGACCGGAAGAGGUAAGUGGAACUGCGAGUGUAGAGGUGAAAUUCGUAGAUAUUCGCAAGAACACCAGUGGGCGAAGGCGGCUUACUGGUCC
rnacentral:rRNA from 1 species